rnacentral:rRNA from 1 species
UUGGUGAAGGAACUAGGCAAAAUGGCACCGUAACUUCGGGAGAAGGUGCGCCGGUGAGGGUGAAGCAUUUACUGCGUAAGCCCAUGCCGGUCGAAGAUACCAGGCCGCUGCGACUGUUUAUUAAAAACACAGCACUCUGCAAACACGAAAGUGGACGUAUAGGGUGUGACGCCUGCCCGGUGCCGGAAGGUUAAUUGAUGGGGUUAGCUAACGCGAAGCUCUUGAUCGAAGCCCCGGUAAACGGCGGCCGUAACAAUAACGGUCCUAAGGUAGCGAAAUUCCUUGUCGGGUAAGUUCCGACCUGCACGAAUGGCGUAACGAUGGCGGCGCUGUCUCCACCCGAGACUCAGUGAAAUUGAAAUCGCUGUGAAGAUGCAGUGUAUCCGCGGCUAGACGGAAAGACCCCGUGAACCUUUACUAUAGCUUUGCACUGGACUUUGAAUUUGCUUGUGUAGGAUAGGUGGGAGGCUUUGAAGCGAGGACGCCAGUUCUUGUGGAGCCAAUCUUGAAAUACCACCCUGGCAACUUUGAGGUUCUAACUCUGGUCCGUUAUCCGGAUCGAGGACAGUGUAUGGUGGGUAGUUUGACUGGGGCGGUCUCCUCCUAAAGAGUAACGGAGGAGUACGAAGGUGCGCUCAGACCGGUCGGAAAUCGGUCGUAGAGUAUAAAGGCAAAAGCGCGCUUGACUGCGAGACAGACACGUCGAGCAGGUACGAAAGUAGGUCUUAGUGAUCCGGUGGUUCUGUAUGGGAGGGCCAUCGCUCAACGGAUAAAAGGUACUCCGGGGAUAACAGGCUGAUACCGCCCAAGAGUUCAUAUCGACGGCGGUGUUUGGCACCUCGAUGUCGGCUCAUCACAUCCUGGGGCUGAAGCCGGUCCCAAGGGUAUGGCUGUUCGCCAUUUAAAGUGGUACGCGAGCUGGGUUUAGAACGUCGUGAGACAGUUCGGUCCCUAUCUGCCGUGGACGUUUGAGAUUUGAGAGGGGCUGCUCCUAGUACGAGAGGACCGGAGUGGACGAACCUCUGGUGUUCCGGUUGUCACGCCAGUGGCAUCGCCGGGUAGCUAUGUUCGGAAUAGAUAACCGCUGAAAGCAUCUAAGCGGGAAACUAGCCUCAAGAUGAGAUCUCACUGGGACCUUGAGUCCCCUGAAGGGCCGUCGAAGACUACGACGUUGAUAGGUGGGGUGUGUAAGCGUUGUGAGGCGUUGAGCUAACCCAUACUAAUUGCCCGUGAGGCUUGAUC